rnacentral:lncRNA from 1 species
GUCCAACUUCCAUAUAACUAUGAAAACAACAUGUUUGCUAUUUAUAAGGAAUUCCCUUGGGGAAACCAGCUUUAAAAAGGAGGAUAGAUUGUUGUGAGGAAAACUGGAUGUGAGUGGAUGGGGCCUCUUUAAAGGGGACAGUUUUCCAGUUUUGAAGAGACCUGUUGGGAUAAACACAUUCAAGAUAAUAGCGCUGGGACAGGACAAAAGCCACUUCAUUGUAAAAAUGCCUUCAACCUGAAACAUUCUGAUGGACCUGUGCACGAACAAUGGACACACACUGCCUAAUGUGGGAUGGAAGAGUAGCUGGUGGACCGCGGCAUUCUCUGGAUUCAUGGGAAAAUAUAAAAACACAUAAGAAGGCUGAGUGCCGAAGAACUGAUGCUUUCGAACUGUGGUGUUGGAUAAAACUCUUGAGAGUGCCUUGGACAGCAAGGAGACCAAACCAGUCCAUCUUAAAGGAAAUCAACCCCAAACAUUCACUGGAAGGACUGAUGCUGAAGCUCCAAUACUUUGGCCAUCUGAUGUGAAAAGCCAACUCAUUGGAAAAGACCCUGACUCUGGCAACAUUGAGGGCAGGAAGAGAAGGGGUGACAGAAAAUGAGACGGUUGGAUGGCAUCACUGACUUAAUGGACAUGAGUUUGAGCAAACUCUGGGAGAUAGUAAAGGACAGGGAAGCCUGACGUGCUGCAGUCCAUGGGGUCGCAAAGAUUAGGACAUGACUUAGCAACUGAGCUACUGUAAAACAACAAGAUAUGACACAACAAAGAAUGUAAAGAAAAAAAUUAAGGCUCUCAAAUAAAGAUAAAAUCAAGCAAUAAUAUGGGUAGUGG